rnacentral:rRNA from 1 species
CCUACGGGUGGCAGCAGUGAGGAAUAUUGGUCAAUGGACGAGAGUCUGAACCAGCCAAGUAGCGUGAAGGAUGACUGCCCUAUGGGUUGUAAACUUCUGUUAUAGGGGAAUAAAAUGUUCCACGUGUGGGAUUUUGUAUGUACCAUAUGAAUAAGGAUCGGCUAACUCCGUGCCAGCAGCCGCGGUAAUACGGAGGCUCCGAGCGUUCUCCGGAUUUAUUGGGUUUAAAGGGAGCGUAGGUGGAUUGUUAAGUCAGUUGUGAAAGUUUGCGGCUCAACCGUAAAAUUGCCGUUGAAACUGGCAUUCUUGCGUACCGUAGAGGUGGGCGGACUUCGUGGUGUAGCCG